rnacentral:rRNA from 1 species
UACGAAGGGGGCUAGCGUUGCUCGGAAUCACUGGGCGUAAAGCGCACGUAGGCGGCUUUCUAAGUCAGGGGUGAAAUCCUGGAGCUCAACUCCAGAACUGCCUUUGAUACUGGAGAGCUUGAGUCCGGGAGAAGUGAGUGGAACUCCGAGUGUAGAGGUGAAAUUCGUAGAUAUUCGGAAGAACACCAGUGGCGAAGGCGGCUCACUGGCCCGGUACUGACGCUGAGGUGCGAAAGCGUGGGGAGCAAACAGG